rnacentral:rRNA from 1 species
GACAGAGGUGCCGAGCGUUAGGCGGAAUCACUGGGCUUAAAGCGUGUGUAGGCGGGUGCCUAAGUACCUUGUGAAAUCCCACGGCUCAACCGUGGAACUGCUUGGUAUACUGGGUAUCUUGAGCCACUUAGGGGCAACCGGAACAAACGGUGGAGAGGUGAAAUGCGUAGAUAUCGUUUGGAACGCCAAUGGUGAAAACAGGUUGCUGGGAGUGUGCUGACGCUGAGACACGAAAGCCAGGGGAGCAAACGGG